CUCGAGCGUGGCCUUAGAUGUGGGGAAUCUGUGAACUGUGCAGUUUCUGACCCUCACUGAGUAAAUUUGGAUACAAUGCCUCUUAGGAUUUAGAUAUGGAUGAACUAAAAGCUUGGAAAAUCUGGAAAGAAGAGAAAUGGCCGGAAAACACUUCUGGUUGCCCCUAGGUAAUGGUGACACAAAGGGGAAGAAGUAAAGUUAAGGUGGUUGUACCUUCAGAAUGAAAUGAAGAACCUCAUUUGUCAACCUCAGAGUACAAGAAAGUGGAUUAGGAAGUAUGAAAACAUUAAAGAAGUCGUGUUCUAAUGGUAUUUAUUAGAGAAGUAAACCACAAGUCAUUUACUCUGAACUAGAUGGUGGUUCAUGCAGUGACCAAAGGAAAAUAUGACACUUGAUUUUCUGGAAUCGGAAACAACAGAGAAAUCAGACUUUGCAUUUUAAGUGGCUGAAGUCAGUAUCAACAGA